UUCUAAACAGCAUUUCACCUCUGCAGAGAUGGAAAAACUCACUGCAAUUCUGUUCUGCUUCUCUCUCAUAGGUAACACGAUGGAAGAUGAGAUUACUGCCAGCAGUGCUGAAGUGUUUUCAUCAGAGGGCCGUAGUGCUACUCUGUCCUGUACCUAUUCAGUUAAAGCUGAUCAUCUCCAGUGGUAUCGACAGGAUCCUGGAUCAGCUCCUCAGUUCCUUCUCCUGAUCACUGAUACAAAACCACCUUCAGUAGUGGAAGCAAAACCUCCUCACCCUCGACUGACUGCUAUACUGAAUGAGGAGAGAAAUCAAGUUGAUCUGAAGAUCUCCUCAGCUAAGCUGUCUGACUCUGCUGUGUACUACUGUGCUCUGAGGCCCACAGUGACAGGAAAGAGUCAGCUGUGA